rnacentral:rRNA from 1 species
UCGCGAAGAACCUUACCCAGGCUUGACAUCCGGGGCACCGCCCUGAAAGGGGCGUCCCAGCAAUGGGCCCCGAGACAGAUGCUGCAUGGCCGUCGUCAGCUCGUGCCAUGAGGUGUUCGGUUAAGUCCGGCAACGAGCGCAACCCAUGCCGCCAGUUACCAUCGGGUUAUGCCGGGGACUCUGGCGGGACCGCCCGUGUCAAGCGGGAGGAGGGCGUGGACGACGUCAAGUCCGUAUGGCUCCUACGCCUGGGGCCGCAAACGUGCUACAAUGGCGGGUACAGAGCGCAGCGGGUCCGCGAGGCCCCGCGAACCGCGAAAGCCCGCCCCAGUUCGGAUUGCAGCCUGCAACUCGGCUGCAUGAAGCCGGAAUCGCUAGUAAAGGGGCAUCAGCCACGGCCCCUUGAAUACGUUCCCGGGUCUUGUACACACCGA